ACUAAGCGUACACGGUGGAUGCCCUGGCAGUCAGAGGCGAUGAAGGACGUGCUAAUCUGCGAUAAGCGCCGGUAAGGUGAUAUGAACCGUUAUAACCGGCGAUUUCCGAAUGGGGAAACCCAGUGUGACUCGUCACACUAUCAUUAACUGAAUCCAUAGGUUAAUGAGGCGAACCGGGGGAACUGAAACAUCUAAGUACCCCGAGGAAAAGAAAUCAACCGAGAUUCCCCCAGUAGCGGCGAGCGAACGGGGAGGAGCCCAGAGCCUGAAUCAGCAUGUGUGUUAGUGGAAGCGUCUGGAAAGGCGCGCGAUACAGGGUGACAGCCCCGUACACAAAAGCGCAUGUGCUGUGAGCUCGAUGAGUAGGGCGGGACACGUGGUAUCCUGUCUGAAUAUGGGGGGACCAUCCUCCAAGGCUAAAUACUCCUGACUGACCGAUAGUGAACCAGUACCGUGAGGGAAAGGCGAAAAGAACCCCGGCGAGGGGAGUGAAAAAGAACCUGAAACCGUGUACGUACAAGCAGUGGGAGCCCCACCACUAAGCCAGUGGUGAACUCCACAUACGCAUCCUUUGCUGAGGAUACGGUUAACGGAGCGAAAGCGACGUUCAACCGCAAAAGAAGCAGAGGGGGCUUAGUGGUGGGGUGACUGCGUACCUUUUGUAUAAUGGGUCAGCGACUUAUAUUCUGUAGCAAGGUUAACCGAAUAGGGGAGCCGGAGGGAAACCGAGUCUUAAUUGGGCGUUAAGUUGCAGGGUAUAGACCCGAAACCCGGUGAUCUAGCCAUGGGCAGGUUGAAGGUUGGGUAACACUAACUGGAGGACCGAACCGACUAAUGUUGAAAAAUUAGCGGAUGACCUGUGGCUGGGGGUGAAAGGCCAAUCAAACCGGGAGAUAGCUGGUUCUCCCCGAAAGCUAUUUAGGUAGCGCCUCGUGAAUUCAUCUCCGGGGGUAGAGCACUGUUUCGGCUAGGGGGCCAUCCCGGCUUACCAACCCGAUGCAAACUGCGAAUACCGGAGAAUGUUAUCACGGGAGACACACGGCGGGUGCUAACGUCCGUCGUGAAGAGGGAAACAACCCAGACCGCCAGCUAAGGUCCCAAAGUCAUGGUUAAGUGGGAAACGAUGUGGGAAGGCCCAGACAGCCAGGAUGUUGGCUUAGAAGCAGCCAUCAUUUAAAGAAAGCGUAAUAGCUCACUGGUCGAGUCGGCCUGCGCGGAAGAUGUAACGGGGCUAAACCAUGCACCGAAGCUGCGGCAGCGACGCUGAUGCGUUGUUGGGUAGGGGAGCGUUCUGUAAGCCUGUGAAGGUGGCCUGUGAGGGUUGCUGGAGGUAUCAGAAGUGCGAAUGCUGACAUAAGUAACGAUAAAGCGGGUGAAAAGCCCGCUCGCCGGAAGACCAAGGGUUCCUGUCCAACGUUAAUCGGGGCAGGGUGAGUCGACCCCUAAGGCGAGGCCGAAAGGCGUAGUCGAUGGGAAACGGGUUAAUAUUCCCGUACUUGGUGUUACUGCGAAGGGGGGACGGAGAAGGCUAUGUUGGCCGGGCGACGGUUGUCCCGGUUUAAGCGUGUAGGUGUGUGUUCCAGGUAAAUCCGGUUCACUUUAACACUGAGGCGUGAUGACGAGGCACUACGGUGCUGAAGCAACAAAUGCCCUGCUUCCAGGAAAAGCCUCUAAGCAUCAGGUAACAUCAAAUCGUACCCCAAACCGACACAGGUGGUCAGGUAGAGAAUACCAAGGCGCUUGAGAGAACUCGGGUGAAGGAACUAGGCAAAAUGGUGCCGUAACUUCGGGAGAAGGCACGCUGACACGUAGGUGAAGUGAUUUACUCAUGGAGCUGAAGUCAGUCGAAGAUACCAGCUGGCUGCAACUGUUUAUUAAAAACACAGCACUGUGCAAACACGAAAGUGGACGUAUACGGUGUGACGCCUGCCCGGUGCCGGAAGGUUAAUUGAUGGGGUCAGCGCAAGCGAAGCUCCUGAUCGAAGCCCCGGUAAACGGCGGCCGUAACUAUAACGGUCCUAAGGUAGCGAAAUUCCUUGUCGGGUAAGUUCCGACCUGCACGAAUGGCGUAAUGAUGGCCAGGCUGUCUCCACCCGAGACUCAGUGAAAUUGAACUCGCUGUGAAGAUGCAGUGUACCCGCGGCAAGACGGAAAGACCCCGUGAACCUUUACUAUAGCUUGACACUGAACAUUGAGCCUUGAUGUGUAGGAUAGGUGGGAGGCUUUGAAGUGUGGACGCCAGUCUGCAUGGAGCCGGCCUUGAAAUACCACCCUUUAAUGUUUGAUGUUCUAACGUGGACCCGUGAUCCGGGUUGCGGACAGUGUCUGGUGGGUAGUUUGACUGGGGCGGUCUCCUCCUAAAGAGUAACGGAGGAGCACGAAGGUUGGCUAAUCCUGGUCGGACAUCAGGAGGUUAGUGCAAUGGCAUAAGCCAGCUUGACUGCGAGCGUGACGGCGCGAGCAGGUGCGAAAGCAGGUCAUAGUGAUCCGGUGGUUCUGAAUGGAAGGGCCAUCGCUCAACGGAUAAAAGGUACUCCGGGGAUAACAGGCUGAUACCGCCCAAGAGUUCAUAUCGACGGCGGUGUUUGGCACCUCGAUGUCGGCUCAUCACAUCCUGGGGCUGAAGUAGGUCCCAAGGGUAUGGCUGUUCGCCAUUUAAAGUGGUACGCGAGCUGGGUUUAGAACGUCGUGAGACAGUUCGGUCCCUAUCUGCCGUGGGCGCUGGAGAACUGAGGGGGGCUGCUCCUAGUACGAGAGGACCGGAGUGGACGCAUCACUGGUGUUCGGGUUGUCAUGCCAAUGGCACUGCCCGGUAGCUAAAUGCGGAAGAGAUAAGUGCUGAAAGCAUCUAAGCACGAAACUUGCCCCGAGAUGAGUUCUCCCUGAGACUUUAAGUCUCCUGAAGGAACGUUGAAGACGACGACGUUGAUAGGCCGGGUGUGUAAGCGCAGCGAUGCGUUGAGCUAACCGGUACUAAUGAACCGUGAGGCUUAACC
rnacentral:rRNA from 1 species